rnacentral:rRNA from 1 species
CCAGUGGCAUUGCCGGGUAGCUAUGUUCGGAAAAGAUAACCGCUGAAAGCAUCUAAGCGGGAAACUUGCCUCAAGAUGAGAUCUCACUGGAACCUUGAGUUCCCUGAAGGGCCGUCGAAGACUACGACGUUGAUAGGUUGGGUGUGUAAGCGCUGUGAGGCGUUGAGCUAACCAAUACUAAUUGCCCGUGAGGCUUGACCAUAUAACACCCAAGCAAUU